rnacentral:tRNA from 1 species
GGUGGUGUGGUCCAAUGGCAAGAUGCCACGUUGUGGUGCUCUUGGAGCGCUGCCACAGCCUCCAACAUCAUCAACAAUUCCGUGUCGAUCUGGGUUCGAUUCCCAGCACCGCCA